rnacentral:lncRNA from 1 species
AAUUUUUAAGUUUCCAAACAUAUUGUAAAACAAUCUUUUUAUUAUUGAUUUCUGGUCAACACAUGGUUAGGGAAUGUGGUCUGUAUGGCAUGGAUUCUUUGAAAUGUAUUGAGAUGUCUUCAAUCUCCUAAGGACCUGCAUCAGUUUUUAUAUAUGUUCUAUGUGUGUCUGAAAAGGAUGUAGAGUCUGCAUUUGUUGGUGAAAAAUUCUAUAUUUGUCUAUCAGAUGGGACUUGAUUUUAUUGUUCUAAUCUUCUGCCGUUACUAAUUUUUUUAAUUGGCACAAUCAGUUUCUUCUCUGUGAUUAUUUUUGAUUUUGUUUUGUAUAUUUGAGAUUUUGUUGUUACAUACAUACAUAUUUAUUACUGGUAGAUUUUCUUUUUUCCUUCAACUUUUAAGUGCCGGGUGUACAGAUCAUCCCAUCACCUAGGUAUUAAGCCCAGCAUCCGUUAGCUAUUAUUCCUGUUACUCUUUCUCCUCCCACCACCCCUCCAAUAACAGGCCCCAGUGUGUGUUGUUCCCCUUCCAUGUGUCCAUGUGUUCUCAUCGUUCAGCUCCCACUUAUAAGUGAGAACAUGCAGUGUUUGGUUUUCUGUUCCUGCAUUAGUUUACUGAGGAUAAUGGCUUCCAGCUCCAUCCGUGUCCCUGUAAAGGACAUGGUCUCAAUCCUUUUUAUGGCUGAAUAGUAUUCCAUGGGUAUAUGUACCACAUUUUCUUUAUCCUAUGACUGGUAAUUUUUUUCCAUUAAGCUUUAUAUAAUGUCAUUCUUUGUCCCUGUUGAUGCUUUUCCUUUACUUUUAAUUUUGUCUGAUUUAAAUGUCACUCCCAGAACUCUGUUUCUUUCUACUAGGUUUCUCAUAGAAUAUAUUUUCCACUCAUUUAUUUCUAAUCUCAGUCUCGCUCUGCAUGGGUAUGUGUGCUUUACAUGUCUUUUGUAAGCAGCAUAGAGCUGCAUUUUAACAAAACUUAAAUUUUAUUUAUUUUUGAAAUAUGUGAUUCCUCAUAUAUUGUCAAAUUCUAAGUAUACUAAAGAGUAAACAGUGAACGAUCUCUCUCUCAUCUCUUUUUCCCAUCUCCCCAGUCUUUCUCUCCAGAGGUAGCCAAUAUUAACAGUUUCUUGCUGCAAAUAAUCAUUGUGAAUAUAAGUAAAUAUAUUCUGUAUAUUCAUUCCUUUUAUGGUGGCAGUAUAGGCACUGCUAAGUACUUUGUUUUUUCAUUUAUUAGCAAUUUAACUGUGAAUAAAGAGCUUCCUCAUUCUU